rnacentral:misc_RNA from 1 species
GAUGAAGAACGCAGCGAAAUGCGAUAAGUAAUGUGAAUUGCAGAAUUCAGUGAAUCAUCGAAUCUUUGAACGCACCUUGCGCCCUUUGGCUAUUCCGAAGGGCAUGCCUGUUUGAGUAUCAUGAACACCUCAACUCUCAUGGUUUGCCAUGAUGAGCUUGGACUUUGGGGGUCUUGCCGGCCUAUGGGUCGGCUCCUCUCAAAUUAAUCAGCUUGCCAGUGUUUGGUGGCAUCACAGGUGUGAUAACUAUCUACGCUUGUGGUUUUCCAUCAGGUAACCUUCAGUGAUGGAGGUUCGCUGGGGCUCAUAAAUGUCUCUCCUCAGUGAGGACAGCUUUUUUAAACGUUUGAUCUCAAAUCAGGUAGGACUACCCGCUGAACUUAAGCAUAUCAAUAAGCGGAGGA